rnacentral:rRNA from 1 species
AUUUUCUUGGCUGCAUUGUGCUCGCUUCUAGCAAUAUUUGUCCAAACACUUGUGCAUUUUCUGAGGGGAUUCCAAGUUGAUUGCUGGGUUUUCGGUGAUUUUCUUGGAUUUUCCAUACUCUCACAUACACUAAUAUUACAAUGUUGAAUGUGCUUGUGCCGUCAUGGCCUUUAAUAAAUAAUACAACUUUUAACAACGGAUCUCUUGGCUCUCGCAUCGAUGAAGAACGCAGCGAAAUGCGAUAAGUAAUGUGAAUUGCAGAAUUCAGUGAAUCAUCGAAUCUUUGAACGCAUCUUGCGCUCCCUGGUAUUCCGGGGAGCACACCUGUUCGAGUGUCGUGAAAAUUCUCAGGCUGGAUGCUUUUUUUUCCUUUGGAAAAAUACAUCUCAGCUUGGUUUUGGGCUUUGCCGUGACCCUUUAUUGGGGAACGGCUGGCCUCAAAAGUAUUAGCUGACCCUCACUAGGAAUUGGUUCUACUCAGCAUGAUAAUAAAUGUGAUUGCUGAGGACAUC